ACCGGAUACAAUCCAUAUAAUAGAACACCUAGAUACCAGUAUGGUAAUGGUCAUGUUAUUAGAAAAAGAUCAAAUAGAUUUACUUAUGCUCAGCUCCGGGCCCUUGUUACUCCAUAUAACCGGCCUUAUCCUACGUAUUCUGGAAGAUUUGCUUAUAACAACAGAAGACGGUUUAGACCUAACAGAUACCAAGCUUACCGCCGAUACAAUGUCGAGCAAACGCCUAGAAAUUAUAAAUCUGAAUUAAAGAAACCCAUUGUUCAAAGAGCGGUUAAAUUGUCUUUUAAACAACUGCGAAAACUUGCAACCCCAUACCACCGAGAAACUCGAAGAUAUCCUGGCUACAGACCAUAUAAUAGAACACCUAGAUACCAGUAUGGUAAUGGUCAUGUCAUUAGAAAAAGAUCAAAUAGAUUUACUUAUGCUCAGCUUCAAGCCCUUGUUACUCCAUACAACCGGCCUUAUCCUACUUAUCCUGGAGCCGUUGCUUACAAUCGCCAAAGUGGAUACACACCCUACAGAUAUGGAGUUCAUAAUGGAUACAGCCCGUAUGCAAAUAAUUUUAACCCUUACACUGCUAGAAGUUUGACCAAUCUCAGAUUUGCCGCUCAAGGAUAUCAUUACGGUUCUCCUCAUUACCGCCAUAAAAGAUCGUAUCGUGUAGAACCACAGAUGAUGAAAAUGGUAGAACCUAUUGGUGAAGUAUGUCCAGCAACUAUGAACGAUCUUCGUGUAUUCUCAGCUUAUAGUGGAAAUUGUUGGGUUAUAGAACCAACUCAACAGAUGAUUAAAUACGCUACAUGCGGUCAUGAUGAAUGUGAGAGCUGUAAGGUUUCUGGAAAUGGAGUAAGUAAAUGUACAGAGAAUUACAGUUGGGUAUCAAUGUGGGCUUAUUGUGAUAAUUUACCACAGGACAAGAAGAUCAGAGAAAUAGAAUUAUAUUUACCACAAUCCUGUAGCUGUAAAUCUUACCAGUGUUAAAACACGUUUAUUGAUGGACUUGAUCUAAUCAUGUCCCAAUCCUCUUAG